AUUGAACGCUGGCGGCAGGCUUAACACAUGCAAGUCGAACGGUAGCAGGAAGAAAGCUUGCUUUCUUUGCUGACGAGUGGCGGACGGGUGAGUAAUGCUUGGGAAUCUGGCUUAUGGAGGGGGAUAACUGUGGGAAACUGCAGCUAAUACCGCGUAAUCUCUGAGGAGUAAAGGGUGGGACCUCUUGGCCACCUGCCAUAAGAUGAGCCCAAGUGGGAUUAGGUAGUUGGUGGGGUAAAGGCCUACCAAGCCUGCGAUCUCUAGCUGGUCUGAGAGGAUGACCAGCCACACUGGAACUGAGACACGGUCCAGACUCCUACGGGAGGCAGCAGUGGGGAAUAUUGCGCAAUGGGGGGAACCCUGACGCAGCCAUGCCGCGUGAAUGAAGAAGGCCUUCGGGUUGUAAAGUUCUUUCGGUAAUGAGGAAGGGAUGUUAUUAAAUAGAUGGCAUCAUUGACGUUAAUUACAGAAGAAGCACCGGCUAACUCCGUGCCAGCAGCCGCGGUAAUACGGAGGGUGCGAGCGUUAAUCGGAAUAACUGGGCGUAAAGGGCACGCAGGCGGACUUUUAAGUGAGAUGUGAAAUCCCCGAGCUUAACUUGGGAAUUGCAUUUCAGACUGGGAGUCUAGAGUACUUUAGGGAGGGGUAGAAUUCCACGUGUAGCGGUGAAAUGCGUAGAGAUGUGGAGGAAUACCGAAGGCGAAGGCAGCCCCUUGGGAAUGUACUGACGCUCAUGUGCGAAAGCGUGGGGAGCAAACAGGAUUAGAUACCCUGGUAGUCCACGCUGUAAACGCUGUCGAUUUGGGGAUUGGGCUAUAUGCUUGGUGCCCGAAGCUAACGUGAUAAAUCGACCGCCUGGGGAGUACGGCCGCAAGGUUAAAACUCAAAUGAAUUGACGGGGGCCCGCACAAGCGGUGGAGCAUGUGGUUUAAUUCGAUGCAACGCGAAGAACCUUACCUACUCUUGACAUCCAGAGAAGCUUGCAGAGAUGCGAGUGUGCCUUCGGGAGCUCUGAGACAGGUGCUGCAUGGCUGUCGUCAGCUCGUGUUGUGAAAUGUUGGGUUAAGUCCCGCAACGAGCGC
rnacentral:rRNA from 1 species